AUGAAGAGCUGCUUGUUACACAGCAGAGGACAUGAUGGAGGAUCAACCUCACUGAUGUCUGUCUGUCUGUACUCUGAUAUUCUGCUUUUAGAUGUUGGGAUGCAGAUGGUGGUUACACAAGGGCUAAAGUUUGUAAUGCUGCCCUUCAAAAUACCACGUGACCUUCCUCAGGGCACCACAGUGGAGUGGAGACACAACAGUAUGAAAGUCUACAAGUGCAUAGCUAUAAAUUUUGGCACACAGCACCAGCCUCGCAGAGAUCGUGCAGAGAUGGAUGGAUAUCCACUAACAACUGGAGACUUCAGUCUGACCCUUAGAGACCCCCACCUCACUGACAGUGGAGUCUACACCUGCACCGUCAACAACACAUACAGAGACAUCCUGCUACAGAAAGUGGUGACUCUCAGUGUCAGAGAUAAUGAAGUGGGCGUGUUGGAGGUGACACAAGGGGAGAGGUCUGUGCUGCUGCCCUUUCAAACCACAGCUGACCUUCGUCAGGGCGUCACAGUGGAGUGGACACGCUCAGACUCCAAACACACCAAAGUCUGCGUGUUUCAGAAAAGCCAAAGCCAGCCAGACAAACAGCACCAGGGUUAUAGAGGUCGUGCAGAGAUGGAUGAAGAUCCACUGAGAACUGGAGACCUCAGUCUGACCCUGAAAGACCUCCACCUCACUGACAGUGGGGUCUACACCUGCACCGUCUACAACAAGGAUGGACACAUGCUGCUACAGAGAGUAGUGACUCUCAGUGUCAGAGCAACCUUAAAGGGAGCCAUGGCAGACAUGCUGGCACGUCUCAGGAGGAGGAGGGCACCAAAAUCUGAGAUUAAAGUGGAAAAGAGGUAUGUUUUCAGGGUCACAGUGGUGUCUGUGUUUACCUGUGAGGUCACCAUGGUAACUGCAGCUGGUCCACUUUAAAUGAGCUCAGUGAGUGAGGAUGUGUAGGGUCACAUGAUCACAGGAGCUCACCUGCCCGUGCAGGUAUGAAUGUAUGAACCUGGUUUAAUUCUUGGCUCUGAUCCUCAUCCUAGUCCCAGCUGAUCGAUCACAGAUCAGAGAACCGAUCAAUCUGUUUGUAGGAUAUUGAUCAGCUGGCACAGCUGGGAUAGACUCCAGCAUCAAACCCACGGACCCAUGUGAGUGUCUGACUGUCCUCUGUGUCCUCAGGAACAUGAACCAAGAACAGGAACGUCUGACUGCUGAAGAAACAGUCUAAGGAGGAGGAGGAGCUGGUGAUGAAGAGCAGCCUGUGUGUAUAUACAGUAUCUCUUGUGUAUUCAGCCCUGAGGAAGAUGAAGGUGCAGCUUUGCUUUGGCCUUCCUCUGCUAACAGCUAACAGCUAACUAACCUCAGCCAGAUGUUCUGCAGCUGUUUGUCUAACAUUAGAAGUUUAUAAUGAUGAUGACCCCGAGCGUGUUUCUGCUGUUCUGAUGGAGUGAAAAUGCUUCAUUUGAGUCAAAGGUCAAAGCUGCUGACUGUCAGGAAGCAUCAGAGCUUCAGAGAAGAUCAGACAAACAUCAUGACACACCCCCUCUGACCCACGGGUCCUUCCUGCUCCAAUCUGAGCAGGAAGGACCCGUUAGAUAAACGUGGACUCUGAGUGCAGAGCUGGUUUGGAGCUGUGGAGACUUACUAAGGAGUAAAGUGGACAUGAAUGAGUCACAGAGGGAGGAGGAGGUGAACAGUGAUGUUUGUUAGACAUGAUCAGACUGAAGAGUGAACAUAAGAAGAGUUUAAUGCUGGAUUUAAAGAGAACAGGAAGAUAAGCUCCGCCCAGCAGCUGAGUCCUCUCUGCUCACACUGGUGUUGGACUGCAGACCUCAGGGAGUCUGCUUCCACAUCUGGUUUCCACAGCUGGAGGAAGGAGGACUGUCCCACGAGCACGCCUACGCCCUCUGUCAUUACUGAAGUAGUGAUGGUGUUUGAUCAGUGUGUGACUGUUUCACUGGUUCAAGCAGAGAUUUACAUAAAUGAGCUUUUAUGAGUUAUUAUAUUAUCUGAUCAGGCCGUUUGCUCCUGUUAAAGAUAAAUGUGCAUCGAACUUUGUGGAUAUUCAUAAGUCUAACAGUUUAAACCUGUGUGUGACUUUGUGUCCUUGAACGGCCCUGACAGAUGGCUGUAGGCCAUAAUAUUCAUUUUUCCUGCUGACUAAAAUAAGCAGCUGAGCUCUCUGAGGGCAGAGCUGCUGCUAACAGGUGAGUCUGUUACCUGGACUGGACUGAGUGAGCUGCUGUGUCACAGCUUUAUCAGUGACACACUCAGCAUGUGUGUGUGUGAUAUGUCAUAGUGCUUGAAACAUACAUGAAAAUAUAUUAAAGGUUGAUUCUUUUUUCUUUUGGUUUGUGGAACAAAAAUCAGCAAUGAAGAAACGCUGGUGUAAAACUUAGUGUAGAAGCACAACAAACGUAAGCCGGCUCAUUUGAUGGUGUGACGCUUGAAAAGGAUUUGCGCGCCUACAUCAUUAUUUACGGUUUAAAUUGUGCUGCCUUUAGGUGCACCUGGUAAAUUCAGGAGUCUCUACUCCAAACCACAGCAGGUUGUUUUAAAGGCUUUUCUGGGUUAAUGUUUGUUUGUUGGCAUAAACAUGUCUGUGAUCGCCGUGUUCUUUUUGAUGCAGUAUUUCAUGUAACUCGGUGCUAAAAUCAUAACAAUUAAGUUUAACAGUUCUAGUGCUCAUGCGUCAGCUAGCAUGCAGCAUGUUUCAGUUGCUCCUGUUUUUACUCUUUACUCUAACUUUUUCUUACUUAUUUCUUUGUCCUUUACUGAGUGUGUUCGUCUGUUUAAAAGCUUUCUUUUCAAACAUGUGGCUCGACAGAGUUUUUGUUCUGCUGUUACUUUCACUGAGGAAUGGGACCGCAGCACAGCAGCUACACACCAGAGAUCAGCUGAGCCGCCUGAUGCUCAGAUUAACUGGAGACGGUCAAACAGAUGUGUGACAGACUUUAAGGAGCUGCUACCAACAAACCAGCAAAUAAACACUGAAUAUGAUGAUUAUUGCUACACUGCAACAUUUGUGAGGUUACCUUAAACACAGUCCAUCAGUCUUUUUGCUUUUGAACAAUAAAAUAUUAAAAACUGUCUCGAGUUUAUUUGGUGAUGUUCUCAUGCACGAGGUGAAAAAAAACAGCAAACAAAUGUCACAGUAAAUCUUUCCAGCUGAUGUUGGGCAUCCUCCACCUGCUGAAUCCACUUCAGCCUCUUCCUGCUCAUGUUCCUGUUUAGAGGCACAGUCAGUCUGUACAAUGGAGAAAACUGAACACAGGAAUAUUUGGAUUUUCCUCUUUUUCUCUGCUCAUGUUCAACUUGUCUGAUUCAAGCUGGGAAUAUUUAUUAGAAUUCAAAUUUAGACUGAAAUAAAAUCAAUAACAUUAUUUUAUUAUUACAUUGAUGUAGCACAUGGUUCAGUUAGCUUUGUAUAAACAUAUGUGUUAGAAAUGUUCUUCAAUCAGCUCUUUUUACUCUCUUACAUUUCACAGCCAGUACUUUUUUACUUUUACUUGAGUAAAGAAGUUGAAUUAGUACUUGGAGUAUUUUAACAGUAGUACUUCUACUUCAGUACAGACUGUGUGUACUUUUAACACCUGUGUCUGAGACCUCCUUCAGGGUCCACCUGAAGCUGUGUGAACUUUACCCACACACCACUCCUCACUCCUCCCACCCGCUGCACACAGUCACUGAGUACAGACCGGCUGAUUCCUGUAAAGGGAGAGGCAGGAAGAGGCGGAGCAACACCUGAAAAACAACUAGUUCAACAUCAUUUUGCAGAAGUGAAAGUGUGAGAGAGCAGCAGCAGAGCUGCAGUCGAGUCCUGUUUGUCUCUAAAAGAUUCACUGGAGUCCAUCAGGUUUCUCUCAGCAACAGUGGUGAGUGCAGCUGAUCACACUUCCUGUUUCUACACAAAUCUUCACUCUGUUCACUUCAUGCUGACUCAUCACAGUCACACUGGAUCCAUAGAAAUCUGCUCAUGUAACCACAGAUCCACUGUAGGAACAUCGAGCUGCUGCUUCAGUCUCACUGUGGCUCUGCUCAGGACUGUGGACUCAGGCUGUGCUCUGGACUUCAGACUGACUCCACACUUCCUGGUUAUUCAUCACUUCCUGUUCCUAUUAGACUGAUUCUGGAUCUGAUUGAUCAUAAGGAUUACACACGUGAAAACACCUGUUUAUUCUUUAUUGAUAUAAAGCCUUUGAUACUGUAAACCAGCAGAUUUUGGUCAGUACUUCAAAAAGUCAUUCAGACAUUUUACAAAGAGAGAUUAUCUGACUUAGUGUAUCCUGUAAGAGUCACAGAUGUUCCUGAAUCAUUCAGAAAACAGUCGAUGCUGCACUUUAUAACUUUGUGUGGAAACAUAAAUCUCAUUAUUUAAACAGAUGUGUUUAAAUCAUUCUGAUAAUCGAGGCUUUAAAUAUGUCAGAGUUCACACAUCAGCUGUGAUAUUCAAGCUGAACUGGAUCAAACAUGUCAUCAGACACAAACAUAGAUGAUGGUGUUUAAUCCCAAAGCUUAUUUAAACAAACUGGAGGACAGAAUUCCUCCUUAAAUGUGAUUUUGAUCAACAAAAUUCACUGAUCUCAUUUUCACACACUUUAUCAUGGUGGCUUCUUCUCUACUAACAUAAAUCUUUGAUCUGGACAAACAAAUAUAUGAAAUAUCAAAAUAAAUCAAUGUUUUCUGAGGAUCCAGAAUAAUCUGAAUGAUGUAUCCCAGCGAGUGACUGGAAAAGUUCAUCUUCUUCCAUAUCCUGAGUUUGUGAGGAGCUGUGAUGUUCCAGUAUCUGUGAGAGAAAACAGUUUUUAAUGACGCACAAAUGGACCAAAUAUACAGACACCACUGAAUAAACAUGUUCUCAUAAAUGCCAUUAAUAUACUGGAUCAACAAUUAAUAACACAUUUCUGAGGUUUAUGAUUCAUUGUCCUCCUCACUGUCACUUCUAUUGGAACAGUCACUGUUUAAUAUUAAUGGCUCGUUGAUCUGGACUUACAAUAAGAAGGAUUUAGUCACCAACAAGGUCGAAGUUUACUUCACAGUAAUUGAUGGAAUAUAUCCAACAAACUGAUUUAUUCAAGUAUACAAAUGAUCUGGAUGAAUCUUGGACCUUCUGUAAAACAGAGAAACAAUUUCACAUCUUUUUAACGACUGUAUUUAUCUUCAUCCCCAAAGUUAUUCUGUUCAUCUGGACGCUGCACUGUACAGCAGACACUACG
ensembl:lncRNA